rnacentral:lncRNA from 1 species
AAAAUCAUUUCUAUCAUUCACAAUGCCUAGAUUAUGUAUUCGUAAAUGUGUAAUUCAUUUUGAUCUUAUUUAACGAGUAAGAAUAUACGUAUCCAAAUUGAUUUUAUCAUAGACGUAUUCAUAUUUUGUAUUUAAUCAACACCCAUUCACAAUUUCACACGUAUUCAUAUUUUGUAUCACAGACAUAUAUUUAUACCUUAUAUAAAAUAUUAUAUAGUAUAAUUUAUAUAAAUAACCAUAUAUAAUAUGUUAAAUACAUAAAUUUAUAUUCAAAAUAUACUCAUAAAAAAUUUAUAUUCGACCCUCUACAUUUUAAUAUUCCCUUAAUCUUUAACCUCAAAUUCCGAAAUCAAACUCGGUUAUUCCGGACAUAGAAACUAUGAGCCUGAUUGAUCUUGGUCGCCACGAAGAAGAUCUUUUGCUAGUGGUGAAGAAGUUGAUGAAGUUAAAGAGUUUAAAAAUUAAUUUUUAUCGAUAAUCUUUGUUAAUUUACUUAAUUAUUAUCUAUUUACAUUUGAACUAUUUAAUUUUUAACUAUUUGAACUAUAAUUUCAGACUUCUUAUUUUUUUAUUCAGUAUUUUACAUUAUUGUUUAAAAUCAAUAAAAAUAAAUUCCAUAAUUUAAUUUGGUCCAGGUAUCUCUCUGUCCCCAGUCAUAUACCCACUUACCCCUACAUAGAUCUCUUGAAUUUCACUUCUUCCCCAUCUGUUGAUGAAAACCUGGUUACAAUUGAAGAUUCGAUAGAUGACGAUGAAGACAUUGUAGGGAAUAAUUUAAAGACGGGUCGAGAGAGAAUAUAUAUAUUGUAAGAUAUUAGAAAUAGAAAAGAUAUUUAUGUAUUAUCUAUUUUUUGUGUGGCUAAACCAAGGGUGAGAACGGGACGGGACGCCGGCGGGGUCGCUCUGUUAUGGAAAACGCCCCGUUCUGGGAAAACGGGGCACAGAACAGGGCGGGUCAGGCAUAUAGGAAUGCUAAAAAAUUUACAACAAAGAAAAAAUAAAUGGAAAUUCGACAGCCUUAUAUGCUAAGAAAAAUGAAAAAAAAAAUUAAGAAGGAUGAAUCUAAGAAGAAUGGAGUAUAUAUCAAAUUGUUUAAAUCGUGUAUAUAUCGAGUAUUUUUGUAAUAUCAAAAUCUUUUAUUAAAUUGUUUAACAUAUUAAUUAAAAACAAUUGUAAUUUUUUUUAUAAUAAUCAUAUAAAUUAACAUUUUAUAUUUAAGUAUAUUAAUUUAAAAUUCACA